rnacentral:rRNA from 1 species
GUCGAACGAGUUCUCGUUGAUGAUCGGUGCUUGCACCGAGAUUCAACAUGGAACGAGUGGCGGACGGGUGAGUAACACGUGGGUAACCUGCCCUUAAGUGGGGGAUAACAUUUGGAAACAGAUGCUAAUACCGCAUAGAUCCAAGAACCGCAUGGUUCUUGGCUGAAAGAUGGCGUAAGCUAUCGCUUUUGGAUGGACCCGCGGCGUAUUAGCUAGUUGGUGAGGUAAUGGCUCACCAAGGCGAUGAUACGUAGCCGAACUGAGAGGUUGAUCGGCCACAUUGGGACUGAGACACGGCCCAAACUCCUACGGGAGGCAGCAGUAGGGAAUCUUCCACAAUGGACGCAAGUCUGAUGGAGCAACGCCGCGUGAGUGAAGAAGGCUUUCGGGUCGUAAAACUCUGUUGUUGGAGAAGAAUGGUCGGCAGAGUAACUGUUGUCGGCGUGACGGUAUCCAACCAGAAAGCCACGGCUAACUACGUGCCAGCAGCCGCGGUAAUACGUAGGUGGCAAGCGUUAUCCGGAUUUAUUGGGCGUAAAGCGAGCGCAAGCGGUUUUUUAAGUCUGAUGUGAAAGCCCUCGGCUUAACCGAGGAAGCGCAUCGGAAACUGGGAAACUUGAGUGCAGAAGAGGACAGUGGAACUCCAUGUGUAGCGGCGAAAUGCGUAGAUAUAUGGAAGAACACCAGUGGCGAAGGCGGCUGUCUGGUCUGUAACUGACGCUGAGGCUCGAAAGCAUGGGUAGCGAACAGGAUU